GACGAACGCUGGCGGCGUGCCUAAUACAUGCAAGUCGAACGGUAACAGGAAACAGCUUGCUGUUUCGCUGACGAGUGGCGGACGGGUGAGUAAUGUCUGGGAAACUGCCUGAUGGAGGGGGAUAACUACUGGAAACGGUAGCUAAUACCGCAUAACGUCGCAAGACCAAAGAGGGGGACCUUCGGGCCUCUUGCCAUCAGAUGUGCCCAGAUGGGAUUAGCUAGUAGGUGGGGUAACGGCUCACCUAGGCGACGAUCCCUAGCUGGUCUGAGAGGAUGACCAGCCACACUGGAACUGAGACACGGUCCAGACUCCUACGGGAGGCAGCAGUGGGGAAUAUUGCACAAUGGGCGCAAGCCUGAUGCAGCCAUGCCGCGUGUAUGAAGAAGGCCUUCGGGUUGUAAAGUACUUUCAGCGGGGAGGAAGGGAGUAAAGUUAAUACCUUUGCUCAUUGACGUUACCCGCAGAAGAAGCACCGGCUAACUCCGUGCCAGCAGCCGCGGGUAAUACGGAGGGUGCAAGCGUUAAUCGGAAUUACUGGGCGUAAAGCGCACGCAGGCGGUUUGUUAAGUCAGAUGUGCAAUCCCCCGGCUCAACCUGGGAACUGCAUCUGAUACUGGGCAACCUUGAUUCUCUCAUAGGGGGGGUAGGAAUUCAAGUUUUUACCUGCAAAUGCUCCCG
rnacentral:rRNA from 1 species